GAUUAUAUUCCAUGAAGUGGAUGCCAUUGGCCAACAACUGAGGAUGAAGAUUGACCAUGAUAACCAGAUUGAAUGUGGAGCCCCGAUGGAAAGGGGCCUCGUACUUUCGCACCUCUGCGCCCCACGCUGAGUUCUUGCAGGUGUUCAGGACCAUGUAUGAGGGACGAUUAUCAAACCUCACGUUGAUGUGAAGCGCUACGUCCGCUCCGGCCCUAUCCCCACACUGCAAAUUCACAUGGAACCUGGCGGAAAGGACAAGAUCCAGAUGAGAGAUUUUAUACGCAUUUCAGAGGACACGAAGCCAUCCCCCCCGCAUAGCUUUACGACUUGUGUUAGUACAGGGUUUCUGCAGGUUUCAACAAAUUAAACUGAAGACUUAAGACCAUUUUAAAACCAUUGUGAUUGCAAUUUAAGACCUAUUUCACAUCCAUGCUGGCAAAAAGUAUGAAGG